rnacentral:rRNA from 1 species
GGAUGAACGUUGGCGGCGUGCCUAAUGCAUGCAAGUCGAACGAAGACUGUAGUAAUACUGUCUUAGUGGCGAACGGGUGAGUAACGCGUGGGUGACCUGCCCCGAAGUGUGGGAUAACAGUCCGAAAGGAUUGCUAAUACUGCAUAAUAUCCAAGAGAUUAGAUGCUUUUGGAUUAAAGGAGUAAUUCGCUUCGGGAGGGGCCCGCGUCCCAUCAGCUAGUUGGUAAGGUAAUGGCCUACCAAGGCUAUGACGGGUAGGGGACCUGAGAGGGUGACCCCCCACACUGGCACUGAAACACGGGCCAGACACCUACGGGUGGCAGCAGUAGGGAAUAUUGGUAAUCUGGGAAACCGGGAACCAGCAACGCCGUGUGUGCGAUGAAGGCCUUCGGGUUGUAAAGCACUUUUUGAGGGGAUGAAAAAGGACAGUACCCUCAGAAUAAGUCUCGGCUAACUACGUGCCAGCAGCCGCGGUAAGACGUAGGAGACGAGCGUUAUUCGGAUUUACUGGGCGUAAAGCGCGUGCAGGCGGUUUGGUAAGUUGGAUGUGAAAGCUCCCGGCUCAACUGGGAGAGGUCGUUCAAAACUGCCAGACUAGAGAAUAGGAGAGGGAGGUGGAAUUCCGGGUGUAGUGGUGAAAUGCGUAGAUAUCCGGAGGAACACCAGUGGCGAAGGCGACCUCCUGGCCUAUUUCUGACGCUCAGACGCGAAAGCUAGGGUAGCAAACGGGAUUAGAGACCCCGGUAGUCCUAGCCGUAAACGAUGUAGACUUGGCGUUGGUGGGGUAAAAUCCAUCAGUGCCGAAGCAAACGCGAUAAGUCUACCGCCUGGGGACUACGGCCGCAAGGUUAAAACUCAAAGGAAUUGACGGGACCCCGCACAAGCGGAGGAACAUGUGGUUUAAUUCGAUGAUACGCGAGGAACCUUACCUGGGCUUAAAUGUAGAGUGCAUUUUCUAGAGAUAGAAAUUCCCUUCGGGGCUUUCUGCAAGGUGCUGCAUGGUUGUCGUCAGCUCGUGCCGUGAGGUGUCGGGUUAAGUCCCAUAACGAGCGCAACCCUUAUCGUUAGUUGCCAGCUGGUAAAGCAGGGGACUCUAGCGAAACUGCCACCGUAAGGUGAGAGGAAGGUGGGGAUGACGUCAAAUCAGCACGGCCCUUAUGUCCAGGGCUACACACGUGUUACAAUGGCCGGUACAGAGGGCUGCUACCUGGUGACAGGAUGCUAAUCUCGAAAACCGGUCUCAGUUCGGAUCGAAGUCUGCAACUCGACUUCGUGAAGCCGGAUUCGCUAGUAAUCGCGCAUCAGCAACGGCGCGGUGAAUACGUUCCCGGGCCU